GAAAUGCGAUAAGUAAUGUGAAUUGCAGAAUUCAGUGAAUCAUCGAAUCUUUGAACGCACCUUGCGCUCCUUGGUAUUCCUUGGAGCAUGCCUGUUUGAGUAUCAUGAAAUCUUCAAAGUAAAUCUUUUGUUAACUCAAUUGGUUUCUACUUUGGUAUUGGAGGUCUUUGCAGCUUCACACCUGCUCCUCUUUGUUCAUUAGCUGGAUCUCAGUGUUAUGCUUGGUUCCACUCGGCGUGAUAAGUUAUCUAUCACUGAGGACACUGUAAAAGGUGGCCAAGGUAAAUGCAGAUGAACCGCUUCUAAUAGUCCAUUGACUUGGACAAUACUUUUAUGAUCUGAUCUAAAAUCAGGUAGGACUACCCGCUGAACUUAAGC
rnacentral:misc_RNA from 1 species